UCCGAGUUGACCCCGGCAGUCUCCUGCGAGUCCCCGCCAUUACGCGCUGGCAACACAGGACAAGGGUUGCGCUCGUUGCGGGACUUAACCCAACAUCUCACGACACGAGCUGACGACAGCCAUGCACCACCUGUGAAGGUGCCCCGAAGGGAGACCGUGUUUCCACGGCUGUCACCUACAUGUCAAGCCCAGGUAAGGUUCUUCGCGUUGCGUCGAAUUGAACCACGUGCUCCGCUGCUUGUGCGGGUCCCCGUCAAUUCCUUUGAGUUUUAGCCUUGCGGCCGUACUCCCCAGGCGGAGUGCUUAAUGCGUUAGCUGCGGCACGGAGAGGGUUGAAGACCUCCCCACACCUAGCACUCAACGUUUACGGCUGGACUAC
rnacentral:misc_RNA from 1 species